UGUUUUGUGUGAGAUGCUACAACUUUGCACUGGAUUUGGUAAUGAUCUUAUACUUCCAGAGUUUUCAGAGGCCAGGUCAUCCUAGGUUUGUGACACUUCUUUGGUAAUUGCUUCACUUGAAGCUGUGGACAAUACUUGCACGGCUAUGCAGAAACUUAUGACAAUGAUUUUGGAGCUUGAUGUGUUGAAAAACCAAGCAGAUAAGAAUGGCUGUACUACAAGAGCUGAUGGUUUUAGAACUCCAUUGCUGGAGAUAAUACUAGAUGAACUGACAAUAAUGAGAUC